GCUAAAAGUGGUGCGGGGGAUGUCAUGCGGGACUGCCGGUUUGAGCCGGAGGAAGGUGGGGACGACGCCAGGCCAGCAUGGCCCUUAUGCCCUGGGCUGCACACGUGGAACAAUGGCGGCUACAAAGGGUUGCCAAGCCGUAAGGCGGAGCUAAUCCCUUAAAAGCCGCCCCAGUUCGGAUCGGGGUCUGCAACUCGACCCCGUGAAGCAGGAAUCGCUAGUAACCGGAAAUCAGCCAUGUUCCGGUGAAUACGUUCCCGAGCCCUGUACUCACCGCCCGUCACGCCAAGCGAGCCGGUAACAGGCGAAACCCAGCGGAAGCUGGACUAGCCUGGGACCGGUGAGAGGGGCGAAGUCGUAACAAGGUACGGGUACCGGAAGGUGCCCGUGGAUCACUCAUAAGGGAAGGGGUAAAACCCCAACCGCUCUGGGAAGGGCCCGCGGCCUAUCAGGUAGUUGGUGGGGUAAUGGCCCACCAAGCCUAUGACGGGUAGGUGGCCUGAGAGGGUGGCCGCCGCCAGGGGCACUGAGACACGGGCCCCACUCCUACGGGAGGCAGCAGCCGAGAAUAUUGGGCAAUGGGGGAAACCCUGACCCAGCGACGCCGCGUGGGGGAAGAAGGCCUUCGGGUUGUAAACCCCUUUUCUGCGGGAGCAACCCCCCAGAUGUAUAUCUGGGGGGUGAGAGUACCGCAGGAAUAAGUGGCUGCCAAUCACGUGCCAGCAGCAGCGGUAAUACGUGAGCCACAAGCGUUAGCCGGAUUUACUGGGCGUAAAGGGUACCGUAGGCGGUCAAGCAAGUCUCAGGUUAAAGACCUCGGGCUCAACCUGAGGAAUGCCUGAGAUACUGUUUGACUAGAGGGCGGUAGAGGCCGGUGGAACUGCCGGUGUAGGGGUGAAAUCCGUUGAUAUCGGCAGGAACGCCGAAAGCGAAGGCAGCCGGCUGGGCCGACCCUGACGCUGAGGGACGAAAGCGUGGGGAGCAAAGGGGAUUAGAUACCCCUGUAGUCCACGCCCUAAACGAUGGGCACUAGCUGCCUGCAGUGUCGACCCUGUGGGUGGCGAAGCUUACGCGUUAAGUGCCCCGCCUGGGAAGUACGCUCGCAAGGGUGAAACUCAAAGGAAUAGACGGGGGCUCGCACAAGCGGUGGUCCAUGUGGCUCAAUCCGACGACAACCGUGGAACCUUACCAGGGCUUGACAUGCCAGUGAAACCUGCGGGAAACCGUGGGGUUCCACAAGGACACUGGCACAGGUGCUACAUGGCCGUCGUCAGCAGGUACCGUGAGGCGCAAGCUUAGAUGCCAAAACCUGCGCAACCCUCGCCGCAUGUUUGCCCCCGCACCACUUUUGGU
rnacentral:rRNA from 1 species